CUCGACGAGCUGCAGAUCGAGCUGCAGCUUGAGCGAGCGUUGCUCCCCUUCGGCGCGGCAGAUCUGGGCGAGCAACGCUCGCUCGAGGGACAGCUCGCCGCGCCGAAGGGGGAGCAGUGCCGACCGGAGAAGGAGCGCCGAAGGGGGAGCGACGCUGACCGGAGGAGGAGGGCCGAACGGGAAGCGACACUGACCGGAGGAGGAGGGCCGAACGGGGAGCAACGCCGACCGGAAACGUACCUGGAGUCGCCGGAGUGAGGAGUUGCCGGAGAGUCAGCCGAGUGGGAGCCGCCGGAGAGAUGGGAGAGACGCCGGAAAAGGAAGAACGAAGCUUCAGCCGACGAGAGGAGCGAC
rnacentral:lncRNA from 1 species